UACAGAGGGGGCAAGCGUUGUUCGGAAUUACUGGGCGUAAAGGGCGCGUAGGCGGCCUGUUAAGUCGAACGUGAAAUCCCACGGCUCAACCGUGGAAGUGCAUUCGAAACUGCAGGGCUAGAGUCCUGGAGAGGAAGGUGGAAUGCUUGGUGUAGAGGUGAAAUUCGUAGAUAUCAAGCGGAACACCGGUGGCGAAGGCGGCCUUCUGGACAGUGACUGACGCAUGAGACG
rnacentral:rRNA from 1 species